rnacentral:rRNA from 1 species
GAUGAACGCUGGCGGCGUGCCUAAUACAUGCAAGUCGAGCGAACAGACGAGGAGCUUGCUCCUUUGACGUUAGCGGCGGACGGGUGAGUAACACGUAGGUAACCUACCUAUAAGACUGGGAUAACUUCGGGAAACCGGAGCUAAUACCGGAUAAUAUUUCGAACCGCAUGGUUCGAUAGUGAAAGAUGGCUUUGCUAUCACUUAUAGAUGGACCUGCGCCGUAUUAGCUAGUUGGUAAGGUAACGGCUUACCAAGGCAACGAUACGUAGCCGACCUGAGAGGGUGAUCGGCAACACUGGAACUGAGACACGGUCCAGACUCCUACGGGAGGCAGCAGUAGGGAAUCUUCCGCAAUGGGCGAAAGCCUGACGGAGCAACGCCGCGUGAGUGAUGAAGGUCUUCGGAUCGUAAAACUCUGUUAUUAGGGAAGAACAAACGUGUAAGUAACUGUGCACGUCUUGACGGUACCUAAUCAGAAAGCCACGGCUAACUACGUG